GAUGAACGCUGGCGGCGUGCCUAAUACAUGCAAGUCGAGCGGUAACACUUCGGGUGACGAGCGGCGGACGGCUGAGUAACACGUAGGCACGUACCCCAAACUGAGGGAUAAGCACCGGAAACGGUGUCUAAUACCGCAUGUGGUCUUCGGAUUAAAGCUUCGGCGGUUUGGGAACGGCCUGCGCAUGAUUAGCUUGUUGGUGAGGUAAAAGCUCACCAAGGCGACGAUCAUUAGCUGGUCUGAGAGGAUGAUCAGGCAGACUGGGACUGAUACACGGCCCAGACUCCUACGGGAGGCAGCAGUAGGGAAUUUUCCACAAUGGGCGAAAGUCUGAUGGAGCAACGCCGCGUGCAGGAUGAAUGCCUUCGGGUUGUAAACUGCUUUUAUUGGUGACGAUUAUGACGGUAGCCAAUGAAUAAGGAUCGGCUAACUCCGUGCCAGCCGCCGCGGUA
rnacentral:rRNA from 1 species